GAAAGGACUUUAGAAGAGACCCGUAGG
rnacentral:piRNA from 1 species